rnacentral:rRNA from 1 species
AUUGAACGCUGGCGGCAGGCCUAACACAUGCAAGUCGAACGAGUGGCGGACGGGUGAGUAAUGUCUGGGAAACUGCCUGAUGGAGGGGGAUAACUACUGGAAACGGUAGCUAAUACCGCAUACCAUCGGAUGUGCCCAGAUGGGAGUAGCUAGUAGGUGGGGUAAAGGCGCACCUAGGCGACGAUCCCUAGCUGGUCUGAGAGGAUGACCAGCCGCACUGGACAGGAGACACGGUCCAGACGCCUACGGGAGGCAGCAGUGGGGAAUAUUGCACAAUGGGCGCAAGCCUGAUGCAGCCAUGCCGCGUGUAUGAAGAAGGCCUUCGGGUUGUAAAGUACUGUCAGCGGGGAGGCGUUACCCGCCGAAGAAGCACCGGCUAACUCCGUGCCAGCAGCCGCGGUAAUUC